AAAUCAAAUCAAAAUGCUCUUGUUGCUUUCGUAUUCAUUGGAUUUGACUCUUGUUCAACUGCAAACCCUGUUUUUAUCUUUUAUCUUUAUCCUAUCCUAUUCUCCCUUGCUUCCACUCUUCUCACACACACACACUCCAAUUCAAUUUAAUUCAACACAUAAUUGGAAAGUACUUAUCCACCCCGACUCAUCUCCAAACCUUUUACCUCCCAACGAAUUUACAUACAAAAACAAAUCAUCCCACAUUAACGCUUUCUCUUACUUUUUCUUUUUCUUUUUUUUUUUUUUCAGAGUCAUACAUAUUCCCAUAAUAAUUGACCCCAAAUCCAACAACAAUGAUCAUAAAUCACAAACAUAACACAUUUGCAGCAAAACAAAGAGAGCAACCGACACAACAUAGUGAACUCUGAACAUACAUUAAACAUUAUUCUUUUUCUUUUCUUUUGCUUCAAUGGUGGAUAAGCCAAUGAGCAAUCACAGAUCCCGUUUCCCUUUCUCCAUCAACAAGCUCAUCUUCUGGUCUCUCAUCUCCCUCGCCGUCAUCCUCUUCUUCUUCGUCGGAUCUCCACCUUCCACCGCCACCACCACCACCUCCUCCUCCCACUCCCGCCGCUCCCUCCGCGGCGGUCCUCAGUGGCAAACCUCCGUCAUUCGCUCUUCUACGCCGUCAAAUCCCAAAGGUCUCCGCGUCCUAGUCACCGGCGCCGCCGGCUUUGUCGGCAGCCAUGUCUCAGUGGCACUCAAGCGCCGCGGCGACGGCGUUGUCGGCGUCGACAACUUCAAUCGCUACUACGACCCAUCGUUAAAACGUUCACGCGCCGAUCUACUAACGCGUGAGGGCGUGUUCGUUGUGGAAGGCGAUAUCAACGAUUCAUCGCUCUUGAAAUCGCUCUUCAAGCUCGUGAAGUUCACGCACGUGAUGCACCUCGCGGCACAAGCCGGAGUUCGUUACGCCAUGAAGAACCCUUCCUCUUACAUCCACAGCAACAUCGCAGGCUUCGUGAACCUUCUAGAAACUUGCAAGAGCGUGAACCCUCAACCCGCUAUAGUCUGGGCUUCUUCAAGCUCCGUUUACGGCCUCAACUCGAAGGUUCCAUUCUCCGAGAAAGAUCGUACGGACCAACCCGCAAGCUUAUACGCCGCAACGAAGAAAGCAGGUGAAGAAAUCGCGCACACUUAUAACCAUAUCUAUGGACUUUCCAUGACAGGCUUGAGAUUCUUCACUGUUUAUGGACCUUGGGGGAGGCCUGACAUGGCGUAUUUCUUCUUCACGAGGGACAUUCUGAAGGGAAAACAGAUUCAGAUAUUUGAAGGCGCAGAGCAUAGAUCGGUGGCGAGGGAUUUUACUUACAUUGAUGAUAUUGUGAAAGGUUGUUUGGGGGCUUUGGAUACUGCUGAGAAGAGCACUGGGAGUGGUGGCAAGAAGAGUGGGCCUGCGCAGUUGCGGAUUUUUAAUCUUGGAAAUACUGCUCCGGUGCCGGUUGGGAAGCUGGUGAGUAUUCUGGAGAAGUUGUUGAAGGUUCAUGCCAAGAAGAAGGUUGUGGCUAUGCCUAGGAAUGGGGAUGUUCCUUUUACACAUGCUGAUAUAAGUUUGGCCAAGAAAGAGAUUGGGUAUAAGCCUGGUACCGAUUUGGAGAAGGGUUUGAACAAGUUUGUGACUUGGUAUUUGGCUUAUUAUUCUAAUGAAUCUGGGAAGAAAGAUAGGCUAAGUUCUUGGUGAUGUCAAUUUGAAUCAUUUUCUUUGGGGAAUUCUACUUUUGUAUUCAUUUUUCGCUGUCUAUAGUUGUACACACACAAUAAUGUGGAUUCAGUUCUGUAGUUCUGUGCAGUAAAAUGCAGGUUCUCUUUCUGUUAGGCUCAUCUCUGACCAACCUUUUUACCUGACAUGAAAUCAAAGUUUAUACAAGCACGUAUGUGAGAACAGAAUUAGCAGUCUAAAAUGGGGAGAAUUCUGAUUUGCAUGCGUCCACAUUUCACAGACCACAGAUUGAGACCCAAAGAAUGGUUAGGCUUGUGUCAUUAAAUGGGGACAAGAAACAAGAAUCAUAUCUCGAUCUAGAUUUUUUUUAUAAAUUUUUUGUGUUUUUGACUUUUCCUCUAUUCUGGUUUAGAUGCCAUUCUUUGGAUGCUGGAGCUCACAUGAUGCAACUACUUUCUGCUGCAUGCUGAGUUGGAUUCAUAUGCAUAAUGCAUAUUACUCGUUUUCACAUGUUUCAUAUUUGGUAUUAAAAAGAACAAGGAGUAAAAAUAAUGAAUUCAUAUGGUUAUUUUAAAAGUGAUCUUACUGAAAAUAA